GUUUCCAUAAGUACAGAGGACGAGGUACAUUUUCUAAAAUGUAUUAGUGUUCGUUUCAAUGUAUUAGUUUCUUCUGCUUUCUUCUUUUGAUCUGUUGGUUAUUUAACUCAUUCACUGUUUUUCUGCAAAGGUAAAAUGGUCUAUAGUCUACCAUGGUGAACCAUCUUUUCCAUUUAGUAGUAGUUUGGGGUGGACAUUAUGUGUAACUUCUGUACACAUGCUUCCAAUCCAUCAGGUACUGACGCAACAGAUCCGCAAUGAUGUGGACAAAGACGCGGUCUUGAUCAGCAUUGGAAGUUGUCGUGCCACGUUUCGCGACUUAGACAGUCUGGCAGGCCCAGAGUUCAACUGGCUGACCAAUGAUGUAAGUAAAACUUAGAAAUACAUUUUUAUUUUACUUUUUUCCUAUCAUGUUGUCAUCAAAUUUCUUUUUCUUUCUUGUAGAAUACGCGCGUUGCAGUGAUUGCUGCAGAUCACAAACAAUGUUCCACUUAUAUUUCCACAGGUCUACUGAAUGGAACACAUCAAGACUCAAUGAAUUUAGACUGACCACAGCAUACAAGACACUGCACCUGAAGACAGGCACCUAUCUCCCUGCAAUCACCCGACACUGAAUGUUUUGCAUCAAAUAAAAAAAAAAACAUACACUGUCA
rnacentral:lncRNA from 1 species